UAAUGUUAAGUGACUUUCAGUGAAAGAACAUCUAUGGUUUGGUUAAAUUAUAUGUAGGACUAGGACUGUCAAAAAACAAACUACCAAACCAAAAUCAAUACUCAGCACCUAAUUGUUGCUAAAAAAAUGACUAGCAGAGCAAGCACCAGCAGCUGUCCUCGACUCCUCCAGCUGACACAAUGAUGCUGCAGACAGGCAGGCGCGCUGCCCCCUCCUCUCACUGGCAGUAGCUGACCUUCACAAUGCUGAACAACACUUCAUGAGGAAUUUUGAGAGGAUGAGGAGAGGGGUGUUGCUCGACUUGACUAUAAAAUGCGUACAUAUUUAUGGACAAAGCGAGCAGACUGUAAGACCAUACAGUGGAUUAUGGAUGCAGGUGGAAACGUGCUGAGCAAGCACAUGGAAACAUGGAGGGAGAUGAGAGGAAGGAGGCCACAGAGAUGAGAUGUGUGAUGACAAAACCCAAUGGCAGAGCAGAUGCCACGACACCGCAGUGAAGCCUGGGUAUUCUAGUUUUGUUGGGAAGCCCAUAUGGUCUUGACUAAUAACUGACUCCUGCACAAUACUGUGAGCUUCAGUGACUGACAGAGGGCCAAAACCGCUCCAGUGUUCCAGAUGGUGGACCUGCGUAUUAUUCCAAAUGGCAACAAACUAAAUAAAUAACCGCAGCACCAGUCACAAGAGCCCUCAGGAGUUUAAUUUUGUUUUAAUUAAUACUUUGGAAUUUUUUGGAAAUAUUCUGUUUGCUUGCUUGCUAAGAAAAUGAACAUCACUACAAUACAUGACUACACUAAACCUUUCUCGUCACCAGACAGCAAAGCAUGCUAAAAUGGUCUUUAGACUGCCAGCUACAGUUAUUGGAAAAAGAAAGUAAACCCUCUGUUGAUUUUAAUUUUUGAUAUAUUAUAAGAAUAAAAGAGUCCUUAGAAGGUCAUGUAAAUACAAGCUGAGG